rnacentral:rRNA from 1 species
AGAUUGAACGCUGGCGGCAGGCUUAACACAUGCAAGUCGAGCGGGCGAGGUUGCUUCGGUAACUGAGCUAGCGGCGGACGGGUGAGUAAAGCUUAGGAAUCUGCCUAUUAGUGGGGGACAACAUUUCGAAAGGGAUGCUAAUACCGCAUACGUCCUACGGGAGAAAGCAGGGGAUCACUUGUGACCUUGCGCUAAUAGAUGAGCCUAAGUCGGAUUAGCUAGUUGGUGGGGUAAAGGCCUACCAAGGCGACGAUCUGUAGCGGGUCUGAGAGGAUGAUCCGCCACACUGGGACUGAGACACGGCCCAGACUCCUACGGGAGGCAGCAGUGGGGAAUAUUGGACAAUGGGGGGAACCCUGAUCCAGCCAUGCCGCGUGUGUGAAGAAGGCCUUUUGGUUGUAAAGCACUUUAAGNGGGGAGGAGGCUCUCUUGGUUAAUACCUGAGAGAAGUG